rnacentral:sRNA from 1 species
GCGCCUGCGAAGGAGGCAGCCUUGACCUUUAUUUCUCGGUUUUGCAGGCAACCGGCCAAGGUAUCCUCUCGUCGAUUCGCAAUUAUGCGAAUUCAAAACU